CGAGGAGGGAGGCGAAGGUCUUGCAGCCGGCCUUCUCGAGAAGGGCGGUGAGGUUGGAGGAGGCGGCGGAGGGGGCGUCGAGGAGGCCAGGGAAAACGAUGGGCGCAGAUAUCUCAAGGACAGAGAGGUUGUAGGGGACCUCGCGGACGGUCUUGGUGUAGGAGGAGUCGAGCUUGGAGCCAUGGGCGGCGGCAGAGAAGGCGACGCGGCCGCCACGGAGGUUGGUGAUGUUGACGAAGCCGGAGUUGCCCGGGGCGUUGCCGGUGGUCUGGUAGAGGGUGGUGGUGAGGGUGGAGCCGUGGGGGAUAUCAUGGAGCUU
rnacentral:lncRNA from 1 species